rnacentral:rRNA from 1 species
GUGGCGAACGGGUGAGUAACACGUGAGCAACCUGCCCCGGACUCUGGGAUAACAGCUGGAAACAGCUGCUAAUACCGGAUACGAGCUGCGAAGGCAUCUUCAGCAGCUGGAAAGAAUUUCGGUCCGGGAUGGGCUCGCGGCCUAUCAGCUAGUUGGUGAGGUAAUGGCUCACCAAGGCGUCGACGGGUAGCCGGCCUGAGAGGGUGACCGGCCACACUGGGACUGAGACACGGCCCAGACUCCUACGGGAGGCAGCAGUGGGGAAUAUUGCACAAUGGGCGAAAGCCUGAUGCAGCAACGCCGCGUGAGGGAUGACGGCCUUCGGGUUGUAAACCUCUUUUAGCAGGGAAGAAGCGAAAGUGACGGUACCUGCAGAAAAAGCGCCGGCUAACUACGUGCCAGCAGCCGCGGUAAUACGUAGGGCGCAAGCGUUAUCCGGAAUUAUUGGGCGUAAAGAGCUCGUAGGCGGUUUGUCGCGUCUGCUGUGAAAACCCGAGGCUCAACCUCGGGCCUGCAGUGGGUACGGGCAGACUAGAGUGCGGUAGGGGAGAUUGGAAUUCCUGGUGUAGCGGUGGAAU